rnacentral:rRNA from 1 species
GACGAACGCUGGCGGCGUGCUUAACACAUGCAAGUCGAACGGGCCUGUCUUCUUUUUUGGGGGGUGGGUUGAGUGGCGAGCGGGUGAGUAUCACGUGAGUAACCUGCCCUUCGGUCCUGGAUAACCGCUUGAAAGGGCGGCUAAUACGGGGUGGUCCGGUUGGUCCGCAUGGGCUGGUCGGGAUAGAUUCACUGUUUUUGGUGUUUCGGCGGGGGAUGGGCUCGCGGCCUAUCAGCUUGUUGGUGGGGUGAUGGCCUACCAAGGCGGUGACGGGUAGCCGGCCUGAGAGGGUGGGCGGCCACACGGGGACUGAGAUACGGCCCAGACUCCUGCGGGAGGCAGCAGUGGGGGGUAUUGCACAAUGGGCGGAAGCCUGAUGCAGCGACGUCGCGUGAGGGAUGGAGGCCUUCGGGUUGUGAACCUCUGUUUCCGGUGGUGAAGGCCCUGUCCGUGUGGUGGGGUUGACGGUAGCCGGGGAAGAAGCGCCGGCUAACUACGUG